GAGAUCCCUCAGGAGACCAUCCGCCACCUCAUCAGGAGCAUGCCCAGGCAUUGUAGGGAAGUCAUACAGGCACGUAGAGGCCACACACACUACUGAGCCUCAUUUUGACUUGUUUUAAGGACAUUACAUCAAAGUUGGAUCAGCCUGUAGUGUGGUUUUCCACUUUAAUUUUGAGUGUGACUCCAAAUCCAGACCUCCAUGGGUUGAUAAAUUGGAUUUCCAUUGAUUAUUUUUGUGUGAUUUUUGUUGUCAACACAUUCAACUAUGUAAAGAAAAAAGUAUUUAAUAAGAUUAUUUCUUUCAUUCAGAUCUAGGAUGUGUUGUUUAAGUGUUCCCUUUAUUUUUUUGAGCAGUAUGUGUAUAUAUAUAUAUUUGUAUAUAUACAGUACGAGUCAAAGUUUGGACACCUAUCAUUCAAGUGUUUUUCUUUAUUUUUACUAUUUUCUAAAUUGUAGAAUAAUAGUGAAGACAUCAGAACUAUGAAAUAACAAUGUAAAAAUAAAGAAAAACCCUUGAAUGAGUAGGUGUAUCAACUUUUGACUGGUACUGUAUAUUGACUUUUUCCACAUUUUGUUACGUUACAGCCUUCAAUUCUAAAAUUGAUUAAAUAAAAACAUUUCCUCAGCGAUCUACAGACAAUACCCCAUAAUGACAAAGCCAAAAUGAGUUUUUAGAAAUGUUUGCAAAUGUAUAAAAACUAAAUAAAUGAAAUACCUUAUUUACAUAAGUAUUCAAACCCUUUGCUAUGAGACUCAAAAUUGAGCUCAGAUGCAUCCUGUUUCCAUUGAUCAUCCUUGAGAUGUUUCUACAACUUGAUUGGAGUCCACCUGUGGUAAAUUCAAUUGAUUGGACAUGAUUUGGAAAGGCACACACCUGUCUAUAUAAGGUCCCACAGUUGACAGUGCAUGUCAGAGCAAAAACCAAGCCAUGAGGUUGAAGGAAUUGUCCGUAGAGCUUCAAACAGGAUUGUGUCGAGGCACAGAUCUGGGGAAGGGAACCAAAAAAUGUCUGCAGCAUUGAAGGUUCCCAAGAGACACAGUGGCCUCCAUCAUUCUUAAAUGGAAGAAGUUUAGAACCACCAAGACUCUUUCUAGACCUUUCCGCCCAGCCAAACUGAGGGAGGUGACCAAGAACCUGAUGGUCAUUCUGACAGAGCUCUAGAGUUCCUUUGUGGAGAUGGGAGAACCUUCCAGAAGGACAACUAUCUCUGCAGCACUCCACUAAUCAGGCCUUUAUGGUAGAGUGGCCAGACGGAAGCCACUCCUCAGUAAAAGGAACAUGACAGCCUGUUUGGAGUUAGCCAAAAGGCACCUAAGAAACACCUGAGAAACAAGAUUCUCUGGUCUGAUGAAACCAAGAUUGAACUCUUUGGCCUAAAUGCCAAGCGUCACGUCUAGAAAAAACCUGGCACCAUCCCUACGGUGAAGCAUGGUGGUGGUAGCAUCAUGCUGUGGGGAUGUUUUUCAGCGCAGGAGACGAGUCAGGAUCAAGGCAAAGAUGAGAGAUCCUUGAUGAAAACCUGCUCCAGAGCGCUCAGGACCUGACUGGGGUGAAGGUUCACCUUCCAACAGGACAAUGACCUUAAGCACACAGCCAAGACAAUGCAGGAGUGGCUUCGGGACAAGUCUCUGAAUGUCCUUGAGGCCCAGCCAGAGCCUGGACUUGAACCCGAUCGAACAUAUCUGGAGACCUGAAAAUAGCUGUGCAGCUACGCUCCCCAUCCAACCUGACAGAGCUUGAGAGGAUCUGCAGAGAAGAAUGGGAGCAACUCCUCAAAUACAGGUGUACCAAGCUUGUAGCGUCACACACAAGAAGACUCAAGGCUGUAAUCGCUGCCAAAGGUGCUUCAACAGAGUGCUGAGUAAAGGGUCUGAAUACUUAUGUAAAUGUGAUAUUUUUGAACACCUCUUUUUGCAUCAUCAUUAUGGGGUAUUGUGUGUAAAUUGAUGAGGGGAAAACUUUUUUUAUAUAUAUAUAUAUAUAUAUUAGAUCCUGAAAUGGACACAAUUCAGUCAGUAACACAUUUUGAAUAGUUUUAUUUUCCCAUAAUUGAGUGCAUUUGUAAACAACCAUACAAACACUGCCUUUUUUAUUUCGUAAUUAAAACAAACUAUCGUUACAUUUUUUUUUACAAGCACGCAUAUUGAAGUUGGAACAUUGGAACUCUCCCUGGCUCAGUGUUUUAAUGUGUUUCUGAAAAUAACAAGACUGAAAGUAAGAACUCACCCAACUCAGCAACAUAGAAAUGUGUACAGCAAUAUAUAAUUUAACAAUGACUCGUUGGCAGAACAGUUCUCUUGCAGAGGACAUUUUAUUCUCAUUGGACUAGCCUACUUCAAGAUCAAACUGAAGGUCAAAUAAAAAAUACUCAGUCACCAUUUGAAGGAAUUCACCAUUCAGAGAAAUGUUUGGGGUUGUUUUUAUACCACUGAAAGACUGAAGUAGUCUACUGUAUCUCCUCUUCCUUCUCACCAGAGGGACAUAUGAGUUUAAAGAUAUCUAUUCAGAUCCAGGUCAUCAACGAUCCUAGUUAAAUAACAAUGCCUAGUUAAAUACAGGUAAAACAACAACAAUGGCAUCGUUCAGGUCUAAUUACUCUGUCACUACAAUGAACUAAUGAUUGGGGGAGGGGGCGGUAAUCAUUUGCUAAUUAUUGACAGUGGGAAAGUAUUAAUUGUAUGAUGUCUCAAUAGAUCGAAAAUGAGUACAAAUUGUGGAGAGGCAAACUUUCUGUUGUAUACCAUCCUGUGUCUUUUGCAGGGGGAGUAUACAGUAUAUUCAACAGCCAAUUAUAGCUCUAGUAAGAGUCAGUAAACUCCAGACCGACAGACUUUUUGAAAAUGUUUUUUUAGGCGUGUUUGGCAUGCAGUUCAGUCAUGGGCAAAAUCGCCUUUGACAUUUGAAAGACUUUUUGAUUGAUAUUGACAUAUCAAAGCAGAGAAACUGCCAUGUUCUGCAGAGGUUGUAAAAACACUGACUGCAUUUUAAAGGCAAAACACAAAAUUAGCUACAAAACAUCUGUUUAGGUCUAUGCAUGCAGUCUUCAAUUUAGUCAAAACAUCAUGAUUUAACAAAUGUAAUUCCAAUUUACCAAACCUUCUCAAAUGUCAAAAAUAAACAAUUUGGGAGAAUGUUAGACGAAUGCUGCUUUUAAUCCAAGGUUAUUCUAGCAUGCUAGGCAAUAGAUGCCUGAAUGUCCAGCUUCAAGAUCCAUAUGGUCUCUGCCUGUUUGGGAAUGCUUGUGUGGAUCCAAAAGAAACCCUAUCAAAACCCUGGUCACAUGUGAGUUAUAGGGAUCCAUAACCCUCGUGAUAGGUGAGUUAUAGGGCUGCAUAACCCUCGUGACAGGUGAGUUAUAGGGAUCCAUAAGCCUCGUGACAGGUGAGUUAUAGGGCUGCAUACUGAAUUCUGAGGGCAUGUUCCAUAUCUCUACCUCGAGGUGACAAGACACACACUUUGUUUUAGCAAUCAUACACACACGCACACACAUCCCUCUGUGUCUCCCGGUUCUCUCUCCAGACAUCUCAGUCGAUCCCAGGGGAGAGCAAUCCGUCACCGAGCUACUUUCUUUUGAAAGAGGAAAACAUCUCCAAUUGAACGCUGGAUUCAGGCUUCUUUGUGUCAACCCCAUCAUAUUGUAGGCCUCUUGAAACUGAUCACAGUCAAUAUACAGUAUCAAUGGUCAAUUGAUUGAUUAUAAAUGUGUGUUAUAUGUAUUGAGCUGCAGAUUAUCAGUUUGUCUAUUUGUCAAUGGAAAGGCCAAAUCAGAAUCAUAAAAAAAGCCUAAGCCAUCAUGUUAAGAAGGCCGUCAUGUUAAGAAGGCCAUCAUGUUAAGAAGGCCAUCAUGUUAAGAAGGCCAUCAUGUUAAGAAGGCCAUCAUGUUAAGAAGGCCGUCAUGUUAAGAAGGCCAUCAUGUUAAGAAGGCCGUCAUGUUAAGAAGGCCAUCAUGUUAAGAAGGCCAUCAUGUUAAGAAGGCCAUCAUGUUAAGAAGGCUGUCACGAGGCUUACAAGGCAUGGUUCAUGACUCCAGUCUUUAGUAUCUUUACGAUUUUAGUAGACAGAAACCCACGUCUGCAGCGCGCUAACAAUUCAGUGCCUCAGAGCGUCUAAAAAAUAGGUUACCCUUUUCAAAUGUGAAUUUGUAGUUCUUUUGGACAGUGAAGCGAGAUGAAAAGCAGCAGUAGUAGGUGUUGUUUCGCUGUCAUCUCGCCCAGCUAACCUACUUCCUGGGACUCUUCAAGCUCCCUGUAGUCUCUUCAUCAGCAGGAACACAAAAAUACAUUUUUGUCACAACAGACAACUUUGUCUUGCCAGAAACUCAUGAAUAUUCAUCUACAAAUGAAGACUUCUGAAAGGUGUCGCAAACAGAAAACGUCCUGAUGAAGCCUCUGGGGACAUGGAGGAAAUGGGUAGAACUUUCAGAAGGUGAUCCACCCUGUUAAACUUGUAUGGAUACCAGUCUGUUUCUGUGCUCUUGCCAACUCCUUGUGGAAUUGUCACGACAGCAAUGGAGUUGCGAAAAGCA
rnacentral:lncRNA from 1 species